rnacentral:rRNA from 1 species
UACAAUGGAGAGUUUGAUCCUGGCUCAGGAUGAACGCUAGCGGCAGGCCUAAUACAUGCAAGACGAACGGCAAGAGAUGUAGCAAUACAUUUCCUAGAGUGUCGUAAGGGUGCGUAACAAGUAUGCAAUCUGCCCUGUACUGGAGAAUAGCUCCCCGAAAGGGGAAUUAACACUCCAUAAGAUCGUAAAGUGGCAUCACUUAGCGAUUAAAACUCCGGUGGUACAGGAUGAGCAUGCUUCUGAUUAGUUAGUUGGUAGUGUAACGGACUACCAAGACGAUGAUCAGUAGGGGAACUGAGAGGUUGAUCCCCCACACU